rnacentral:rRNA from 1 species
AGCGUAGACGGUGUGGCAAGUCUGAUGUGAAAGGCAUGGGCUCAACCUGUGGACUGCAUUGGAAACUGUCAUACUUGAGUGCCGGAGGGGUAAGCGGAAUUCCUAGUGUAGCGGUGAGAUGCGUAGAUAUUAGGAGGAACACCAGUGGCGAAGGCGGCUUACUGGACGGUAACUGACGUUGAGGCUGAAAGCGUGGGGAGCAAACA